rnacentral:lncRNA from 1 species
AGAAAUAUAUAUUAUAAGUGUAUUUGAUUCGAUAUUGUUAAAAUUUUUAACGAUAACAAGAAUUCUAUGUAAUUAUGCUAUUACAUAGAAAUCGUAACCUAACAAAAUUUAUCGUUUAUUCAACAUCGUUUUCGCUCCAUCGCUACUUCUCUAUUUUCUCAUACGCAAUCCUCGACUUAUGCAAUUUUCGAAGAGGAUGCAACCGGUAUCAAAUUAUUACCACACUCUUUCCCUGGAUAUGACGCAAUCGGGAACAUCCCAUUGAACACGGUUUAUUUCUGUGUAACCGAACGAAAACCGCUCCGGCUUACUUUCACGGCCACGAAAAAAAGGCGAAUCGUUUUCCAUCCGCACGGAUCAUAAUUUUACGCCACACCACGGACUCGUGUUGGCAAGAAAGAAUCUUCGUGUGAAAGCUUCUCGAAAAAACAAGAAGAGAAAAAGGGUGAAAAUAGAAAGAAGAGCAAAACGCAACGUGGGAUCGAUCCUCCUCGAGAAUACAGGAAAAAUUUCUAUAAUAUCAAUUUCACGCGCGAAAUUUGGAUGCCCACGAAUGUCACUGUUUCUAAUAAUAACGGAAACAAAGCGAGCCUCUUGAUGCUCGUCCAGAAAGCUAUAAUAUAUCGCAUCGAUUCUCACCAACGUUUUAUUCGAUGCGGAGGAAAUUGUUCGUGUCUCGUCCGUUUGGAAAACUUGGAUCGUUUGGAUCAGGGAGAGGAAAGUAUACGCGAACUAGUUUCCUAAGAAAUAUACGCGUUUACGAGUUACUUGGUCGGGGAAAUACUAUAAACUUAGGGUGAAAUCUUUUAAACUGGAAACUUUUAACGAUUCAAUAACACUGGUUAUGGUAAUCUUGGAAUGAUAUCGAGCAACGUAAAUUUGGGGAAAAAUGUGCUAAUAGAUUAUGUAUGAUAUAAGACAGGAAAUUUGUGUCAUCUUCUCGUUUAAAUCAAUAGUGAAUUGGCAGGAAGAGUCGAUAUUUUUAAACGAAGGUAUUAAUAGUAGAUAGUCUAUUUAUAUACAAUUAUUUUUCUCAGACUGGAUAUUGAAAUUUCCUAUUGUUCUUACUUUCAAUUCAUUUUCCUUCCUGUUAUCUCAACUCGAUAAGAACAAGAAUGUGGAAUGAAAAUCGAAAAAGCUUUUAACAGAAAUAAAAAUUAUCGCUCGAUCGUUCAAAUUCGCACGUUAGAAGUUCUCGAAUCUCCAACCCCUUCGCUCCAUCAUCCCAAAACUCGUUGGCUAUAAACGUAACCCGGAACCCAUGCCAACUUUGCAUCGCAACACGACGCGUUCGUUUCACCCCAACGAUGGCUGUCAUCGGUUUCGAAACUUCCGCUCGCAUUUCUGCGAGCUAAAGUUUUUCGCCAAAGUCCCGAAAUUAGGUCGAUUUCGGUAUCGGUAAUGAUUCGCAAGCGUCACAAUCGAGACGAGAUCCAUCCUGGUUGUUGGCAACCCGUGCUAAUGGCUCGUGCCCGCAAUUAGGGGCUCGCGUUUCCUCAAAAGACCGCGUAACGAGUCUACAAAGCUGGCAUUUUCAGCUAGACGGCGCGGGAUCCGCGACAUCGUGCAUAAAGGAGUUCGAAAGAAGCGGCGGCCGGUUUCCAGGAAACGCGUUUAAUACACUUUGAACCAGUUACCAUCAAUUAACGUGACUUUACCGUGAGACGUAAAU